AGUGAACGCUGGCGGUAGGCCUAACACAUGCAAGUCGAACGGCAGCACAGUAAGAGCUUGCUCUUACGGGUGGCGAGUGGCGGACGGGUGAGGAAUACAACAGAAUCUACUUUUUCGUGGGGGAUAACGAAGGGAAACUUACUCUAAUACAGCAUACGAACUACGGGUGAAAGCAGGGGAUCUUCGGACCUUGCGCGAUUGAAUGAGCCGAUGUCGGAUUAGCUAGUUGGCGGGGUAAAGGCCCACCAAGGCGACGAUCCGUAGCGGGUCUGAGAGGAUGAUCAGCCACACCGGACUGGAGACACGGUACAGACACCAACGGUAGGCAGCAGUGGGGAAUAGUAGACAAUGGGCGCGAGCCUGAUCCAACCAAGCCACGUGGGUGAAGAAGUCCUUCGGGUUGUAAAGCAAUCUUGUUGGGAAAGAAAAGCAGCAGGUUAAUACCCCGCUGUUCGGACGGUACCCAAAAAAAAGGCACCGCCAACCUUCGU
rnacentral:rRNA from 1 species